AUCUAAGUAAUUUAAUUUUAAAAUACUGAUUUGUGGGAUCAGUCAUAUAUAUAUAUAAUAUCUUGGAUU
rnacentral:tRNA from 1 species